rnacentral:misc_RNA from 1 species
GAAAUGCGAUAAGUAGUGUGAAUUGCAGAAUUCAGUGAAUCAUCGAAUCUUUGAACGCACAUUGCGCCCUUUGGUAUUCCAAAGGGCAUGCCUGUUCGAGCGUCAUUUGUACCCUCAAGCUUUGCUUGGUGUUGGGUGUCUUGUCUCUAGCUUUGCUGGAGACUCGCCUUAAAGUAAUUGGCAGCCGGCCUACUGGUUUCGGAGCGCAGCACAAGUCGCACUCUCUAUCAGCAAAGGUCUAGCAUCCAUUAAGCCUUUUUUCACCUUUUGACCUCGGAUCAGGUAGGGAUACCCGCUGAACUUAAGC